rnacentral:lncRNA from 1 species
GUACUGAGGUUUUAAUAAUUAUUGAGCAGUGACCGUGUCUCAGGAAAGAGAUGGGGAGGGAGGGAGGCUGUACUGAGGUUUUAAUAAUUAUUGAGCAGUGACCGUGUCUCAGGCACCGUUUUAAGAGUUUAUCACAUACUUUCCUCAUUGCAAUCCUUGCAACCGCCCCCGAGAUAGGUAUUAUUAUUCCCGACUUCCAGGUGAGAGACCUGAAGCAGACAGAGGUGAGGGAAUGAGCCCAGGCCGGGAGGACGCAGGGAGGCAGAAUCCAGCGUUCUAAACCUCUGCACAGUCCUGAUUGGCUCACAAUGGGCGAAGCGAUCAAGAAAGACAUUUAUACGAGUAACGAGACAAUUAUAACGAGACAUUUAUACGAGCACAAAGACUGAGGCGUUUCCCUGCCGGCUCAGGACAUCCAGUGCUGGAGAGCUACAAAGGCUUCCAGAGGCUUUUAUGUAAAUUACAGAAAAUAUGGGACUAGCUGUGGGAGCUCCAAUUUUAAGAAAACAAGAAUUCCAACGAGGAGAAUGUGGGUGCUAUGGACUGAACUGUGUCCCUUCAAAAUUCCUAUGUUGAAGCCCUGACCCCCAGAGUGACUGUAUUUGGAGAGAAGGUCUUUAGGAGGUAAUUAAGGUAAAAUGAGGGUGCAAGGGUGAGGCCCUAAUCCGAUAGGACUAGUGUCUUUAUAAGAAAAGGGAGAGGCCGGGUGCUGUGGCUCACGUCUGUAAUCCCAGUGCUUUGGGAAGCGGAGGUGGGAGGAUUGCUUGAGGGCUAGUUAGAGACCAGCCCGGGCAACAAAGCGAUACCCUGUCUCUACAAAAAAUUAAAAAUUAGACAGGCGUGGUGGCACACAUCUGUAGUCUCAGCUGCCCGGGAAGCUGGGGUGGGAAGAUUGCAGGACCCCAGGAGUUGAAGGCUGCAGUGAACAAUGAUCAUGCCACUGCACUCCAGCCUGGGUGACAGAGUGAGACCCUGUCAAAACACAGAAAAGCAAGAGGAGGAGGAGAGACUAGAGCCCUCUCCUCCUGCCACACGAGGACACACGGAGAAGGCAGCUGUCUGCAAGCCAUGAACAGGGCCCUCACCAGACACAGAAUCAGCCAGCACCUUGAUCUCAGAAUUUCGUGCCUCCAAACUGAAAAAUAAAUAUCUACGGCUGAAGGUGCCCAGUCUGUGGCACUUUAUUAGGGCGGUCUGAGCUGACUAUGACACGGGGAGUCACUCAGCCUCUUCUGAAAUGUCUGGGGAUCUGCUCCAUCGUUGGUAACACGUGUGUGGCCUCAGCAGGCAGGACCCUGAAGAGGUUUCAUAACAAUCACAGGCAUCCUUUACUGCACGCUGCCAAUGGGCCAGGCAGUCUGCUAAGGGCUUCUCCUGCACUAUUGCAUCCAUCAACGAUGACAGAAGCUUAAUGACCCCAUUUUACAGAUGAAAGAACAGAGGCCCAGAGAGGUUAAGUGACUUGUACGAGACCGCGCCACCGUGGCCAAGCUGGGACCUCAACCCAAGUCUGUCUGGUCCUGCAGCUCCGUGCACAACCACCUCACAAUCCUGCAGCCAGGGAGGAGGGAAGCUAGCCGUGCCAGGUGCUUGCAGGAACACGGAGGCACUCCUGAAAGUACAGAUGAGUCCCUCCCAUCUGGGCAGGAGCCCCCAGCACUGCGUGGCAUCUGCGUGGGGACAGUCCUCACUGGCAAGUCCAGGAGAACCGGCUGCCCUCUUGCUGCUCAGGGUGGACCAAGCGACCUCUCAUUCCAGCCCCCUGAAGUCGAGAGCUCUUUCCUUCCUAGAACCCUCCUUCACCCCCUCUAAUUCCUCUCCAUCUGCUUAGAAUACACUGAAGAGGCUGACGCUCUGUCUCAGCAAAUGGCCUCAGUCCCUACGUUGCCUGUCUCCAUCCCUAUCAUCUCCCAGUGACGGCCAUCACCACCUGUCUCCAGCACUAGGGUCGUCUCUUAAAAACACAGAUCAGAUCACACCCCUGCUCAAAACACUCCACUGGCAUCUCAUUAAACUUAAGUGAAAUCUCAGCUCCUGACCUUGACUGGCGAGGCUGUGUGAUGGGCCAUCCGGCCGCUCACUCUCUGCCCCAGAUGCCACCAUGUGCCCCUUGAACAUGCCCAGCUCGUUCCUGCCUCAGGGCCUUCAGGACUGUUCCAGGGGAAACUUGCCGUUCCCUCUGCCGGGAACACUGUUCCACCCAGAUCUUCCCAGGGCCAGCUGUUGCUUGUGUUUGGGCCUGAGCUCAGAGAGGCCCCCUAAGCCUCUCCCUAGGUGCUCUGCGUUAAUUCAACAGAGUCCUCGGUGUACCUAGUCUUGCUUCAUGUUUAUUCAUUUGUCUUCUCUAUGCCCUGACCCUGGAAAGUCAUCUCCACAACAGGGUGGACUGUGUCCAUCUCGUUCACGGCGUCGGCAGGACCCAGAACAGGGCUUGCACACAAUGGGCUAUUAUUUACAGAAUGAAUGAAGAUGAAUGAACGAAUGACACCACCUUCUCCAAGAAGGAAGAGUGAACCCUCC